UUAGGCGUAAGUCCAAAUAAUCACAUACCCAAGAAUAUUUAUAUAUUAAAAAAAGAAAAGUGUGCACUCUAAACGACGUCGUAAGACAACAGGCAGCAGUCCCAGGACAGAUAACAGAGUAUGUGAAGCCCUCCUAAUGGAUAUUUCGGGAGCUGAGGGGGACAACGAUUUUUUAUUUUUUUAUUUUGUAUUUUAUUUUAGGUAUGAUGGACAUCGGACACAUAGGGUGACUUGGAUGCAUUAGGGACUCUGAACGAUAUCGGAGGAACCGAUGAAACAGACAGUAUUCGGUCUUUUUGUAUGAACGUUUUUCCAAACACUCCAAGAACAGAGAAUUUAAACGUCCCGACAACAACCCAGGGAACCACCACCCCCACACAACAUAGUCCAGACCCCAACAACAAAAGCACAACGGUGGCCCAAGGGCAUUGCGCAGAAUCACCAGAGGUAUUAAUUCUAGGCAUUUACAUGUAAGUUUUUAAAAAUGAAGACUAUUUAUACAAUGAAACAAUGUUUUUUUUAUUCACACUGUUUGUAAACAAUAACGUUUGCCCUCUUAGGGUCUACUUGACCUGCUUAUUGAUUAGAAAGUAUGAUUAGAAACCAAGGCUGUGGAAUAUAUUCGCUCUCACAGGCUAUGAAAAAGACAAAAGCUAGGACAUUGACUCCGGAGUGUUGAACUUAUGCCCACUCUACAACAACCCCGGUUGUUAUAUGACCCCUGAGGAUCAUCUACGAACGUUGGAACAUCUACAACUAUUGAAGAUGCAAAAAGGGGUUUUCAGAAACACAUUUGGUUUACAGAUAUGUAUUAUUAUAAAAAUAAUAUAACAUUAUUAUCAUAAUCUAAAACACUUUAAAGGAUCUCUAAUUCAAACAUGCAAGGAUAUAUAUAUAUAUAUGAUACGAUUAACCACUUUAAAACUGUUGCUGCAAUAUCACUUCUCAAUGUGUGUACAUUUCAAGCUUUCAACAACAAUAAACAAACCAGCUCAAUAAUGUUUCUCAGACUUACAAACUGUUGAGUUUUCCUAGUUAGUAAAGAAACAACCACUAAGCCAAAACCCCAAAAGUUGUAAUAUAAUCUGUAUACAAGUCAUUCUAUACAGAAAACAGGUACAUUUUGAUUGAUCAAGAAUUCCCAAUAGGUUUGUGUCACGCCCUGACCAUAGUUUGCUAUGUAUGUUUAUAGGUUUUGUUUGGUAUGGGUGUGAUAUGAGUGGGCAUUCUAUGAUGUAUGUCUAGUUUGUCUUUUUUCAGUGUUUGGCCGGAUAUUGUUUUCAAUCAGAGGCCUGUGUUAGUCGUUGUCUCUGAUUGGGAACCAUAUUUAGGUAGCCUGUGUUGUCAUUGUUGGGUGAUUGUCUAUGUUAGGUGCUUGUGUCAGCACAUUGGGUAUAUAGCGUCACGGUCGUUGUUCAUUUAUUGGCUUGUUCAGUUUACUUUGUGUUUUCGUCAUCCAUUAAAACGAUGCAUUCACACCA